AGUGAACGCUGGCGGUAGGCCUAACACAUGCAAGUCGAACGGCAGCACAGGAGAGCUUGCUCUCUGGGUGGCGAGUGGCGGACGGGUGAGGAAUACAUCGGAAUCUACUCUGUCGUGGGGGAUAACGUAGGGAAACUUACGCUAAUACCGCAUACGACCUACGGGUGAAAGCAGGGGACCUUCGGGCCUUGCGCGAUUGAAUGAGCCGAUGUCGGAUUAGCUAGUUGGCGGGGUAAAGGACCACCAAGGCAACGAUCCGUAGCUGGUCUGAGAGGAUGAUCAGCCACACUGGAACUGAGACACGGUCCAGACUCCUACGGGAGGCAGCAGUGGGGAAUAUUGGACAAUGGGCGCAAGCCUGAUCCAGCCAUACCGCGUGGGUGAAGAAGGCCUUCGGGUUGUAAAGCCCUUUUGUUGGGAAAGAAAUCCAGCUGGCUAAUACCCGGUUGGGAUGACGGUACCCAAAGAAUAAGCACCGGCUAACUUCGUGCCAGCCGCCGCAGUAA
rnacentral:rRNA from 1 species